AGCAUUGAUGCAUCUGACAGCUUCCAAAGGCUUGGAAGGUACGUUAAUGAUGCAGCUAUAGACAACCCCAUCUUAUGCAUGUUAUGAGAAGUUAAAAGUGUUUAACAACUACUCCAGGCUUUUUCUUUGCAAGAAGGGAUAUUGAUAGAGGGAAGGAGAUCAGAUAUGACUAUGGUGAUCCCAUGCCCGAUGGACAAUCUUCCUUGGAGUUCAUCACUCAUCAGGAAGCAUUUUGGAGGCAAACCCUGUUGCAGCAUUUCUACAUGUUCCACAGAUUGUACAGACUAGUCAGGACCUUGUAAAUUCACAUGUUCAACAGCUUAGGCAUUUUAGUACAGAGUGGAUUAUUGAGGCAGACCCUGAUGGAAAACUUGCACAUGUUCCACAAACCAGUGAAGACCAUUUUGCAGAAUAUAAACUUUUUCCGCAGAUAAGCCAAGACCCUAAUGGUGUUCAUGUGUGUGUGGUUAAUUAUUUGCUCUGAAGCUGAUAUAUGGACUGAAUAUAAAACUGUCUUUUUCUACAGUUAAGUCCAUCUUAAUCUGAAAAUACUACCGGUACAUUUUGAAUUAUGCUUUAUUAUGCAGAAAAAAAAAAUAAUUAGUUUCAAAUAUGAAAAGUCUAUUGAUACACUGCUUUGCAAUUCCAAAAGUGAUAAUGUGAUAAGUUUUGAUGUGAAUACGUGACAUGUGCCAUUAUCAAUUUUCAUAGAUAAAAUCAAAUACAAAAGCCAUUCCAAUUUAAUAUUUUGCUUGUCAGACCCGCAUGCUCUUAUUUGAACAAAGCUAUACAAAUAAUAUUAAUUUAAAUCUCCUGCACCUGGGAAAUUCUGUGCCAGUUUCUGUUUUAUUUCCGCUCUAUUUUUGAUAAUUUAAAUCUGUUUACUACAAAUCAGAAAAAAGUAGAAAAAAUAUAAUUGUCACUCAAUUUCUUUCAUGUUAUGCCUAAAAAUUUUGCAUACGAAAAAGUUAUAAUAUUAUUAUUUAAUCUCUUGCCCGCUCUUACUUUUUUCACCAGAUGUGCGACGAACAAGAAAUUAAAUUGGCGUGGUGAAAUUAUGUUUUAUUAAAACUCAAUUAUGCAAUAAAUGAUAAAUAAAGACUAAACAGUCAUGUUCACAAGUCAGAGGUGAUAAAAUAUAUAUCUGUUCUAUAGGAAAAAAAGAAUUAUAAAGUGACAUCAAUUUUUCACGUAAUGUCUGUCUAGAACCUGUACAUCAGAUUUCGUAUUUUGUGUGAUUUUUUGAAGGAUUUUUACACUAACAAAGUUAAUAAAAUCAAAUUUUAGUUCUAAAAUUUAAUAAUUUAUUUUUAGAUUGUCAAAAUGCUUGUUAAUUAUAGU